rnacentral:tRNA from 1 species
GGGCCCGUAGCUCAGGAAACUUUUUGGAAAAAGUUUAAUCAAAAACCCCAACCCAAAAAGUUCGAGCAUCAUGGCUAGAGCGUUCGACUGAUAAUCGAAAGGUCAUGAGUUCAAAUCUCAUCGGGCCCA